rnacentral:rRNA from 1 species
GACGAACGCUGGCGGCGGGCUUAACACAUGCAAGUCGAACGGAAAGGCCCUGCUUGUGUGGGGUGCUCGAGUGGCGAACGGGUGAGUAACACGUGAGUAACCUGCCCUUGACUUUGGGAUAACUUCAGGAAACUGGGGCUAAUACCGGAUAGGAGCUCCUGCUGCUUGGUGGGGGUUGGAAAGUUUCGGCGGUUGGGGAUGGACUCGCGGCUUAUCAGCUUGUUGGUGGGGUAGUGGCUUACCAAGGCUUUGACGGGUAGCCGGCCUGGGAGGGUGACCGGCCACAUUGGGACUGAGAUACGGCCCAGACUCCUACGGGAGGCAGCAGUGGGGAAUAUUGCACAAUGGGCGGAAGCCUGAUGCAGCAACGCCGCGUGCGGGAUGACGGCCUUCGGGUUGUAAACCGCUUUCGCCUGUGACGAAGCGUGAGUGACGGUAAUGGGUAAAGAAGCACCGGCUAACUACGUG